AUAUCAGUAAGCGGAGGAAAGGAAAUUAACAAAGAUUGCAAUAGUAUCGGCGAGUGAAGUUGCAACAGCUCAAAUUGAAAAUCAGUGCCAGAGGAUGGCUCUGAGUUGUAAUCUCAAGAGGUGAAGCCAAUCAUGCUAGCCUAACUGAACUACCUAGGAAUGGGUGGCCAUAGAGGGUGAGAGCCCCGUAAUUGGUUAGGUUGGCAUGUGAGGCUAGCCUUCAAUGAGUCGGGUUGUUUGGGAAUGCAGCCCAAAAUGGGUGGUAAAUUUCAUCUAAAGCUAAAUACGGGCACGAGACCGAUAGCGAACAAGUACCGUGAGG
rnacentral:rRNA from 1 species